GGGGGGGUGCUAUGGUUUUUUUUGGAAAAAAAAGUUUGUUUCCAGUUUUUGGAGAAAAAAAUAAUUUGUUUUUGAUUCUGAGAAAAAAAAAUUGUUUGUUUCACCCUCAGCUGCCACUAUAUGUAACGCUAAAAUUGAAAGAAAAAAAUUGUUUUCGACUUGUCGCGAAAAAAAUAGAUUGUUUUUCGCCGCAGGCGAAAAAAAAAAUUUGUCCAGAAAAAAAAAACCAUAACCCCCCCAGAAAAUCAAAUGGUUGCUGCCUAACUGUAAACCAAUAUUUCUUCUAAAUGUUGACUUAUCGAUAACACUUGCUCAGUGUCAAAUAAACAUUUUUACAAGCAUAAAAUAUUAGGGCAAUGCCAAAUAGACAUGAUAGAGUCCUAAGUGUUGACAGUUUAUAACUUGAUAAAAAAAAAU
rnacentral:lncRNA from 1 species